rnacentral:lncRNA from 1 species
CGUGGGGUAAAUAAGUUGUAUGGAUAAUCUGAUAUGAAGCAUUAUUUGAAGUUAUUACAUAGUCUCAUGUGUGAUUUUAUUCUAAGAUUUUAAGUUAAAACUGAUAAAUAUUCUCAACUUACUUUCAUAGUAUAAUAGUGAUAUGACUGCAUGAUGUGAACUCAUUGUUGACUACUCUAAGGUGACUUCUGGAUAUAUGGAUUGAUGUUUGAACAAUAUGUUUAAAGGUGCUGCCCAAUUGAUAUUUGUCACAUAUUUUUAGAAUUAUGCCUUCAAUAUAUUAUGACCCACCAAAAAAGAAUGCCAAUUAAAUGUUAAAAAAUGAAAAAUUGCUGAGGGGCUUCAACUUUUUGAAAAAUAUGGAUUUUAC